rnacentral:rRNA from 1 species
GAUGAACGCUGGCGGCAUGCCUAAUACAUGCAAGUCGAGCGGAGCGGGGACGGGUGAGUAACACGUGUCUGACCUCCUAUAAGGCUGGGGUAACUUCGGGAACCCUGAGCUAAACCGGUUACUUAUAGGUGUAUCCGCGCUGCAUUAGAUAGUUGUUACGGUAACGGCUUACCAAGGCAACGCUGCAUAGCCGACCGUAGAGGGUGAUCGGCCACACUGGAACUGAGACACGGUCCAGACUCCUACGGGAGGCAGCAGUAGGGAAUAUUCCGCAAUGGGCGAAAGCCUGACGGAGCAACGCCGCGUGAGUGAUGAAGGUCUUCGGAUCGUAAAACUCUGUUAUUAGGGAAGCGGUACCUAAUCAGAAAGCCACGGCUAACUACGUGCCAGCAGCCGCGGUAAUUC